CUCGACUCUCGAGAAUUCAAAUUCAAGUUCAAAAUUGAAAUUGAAAUUGAAAUUCCUCUCUCCGACUCAGUUCCACGGACCACUCGCUCUCACUCUCCCUCCCUCUAAGAUUGAACCCUAGAACAAGACCUUUAGACAUAUUUCUAAAGUUACGGUUUAGAGGAAGAAGAAGAGACAACAAAUCAAUCACACUCCAAACAUAGACAUUUAAGCUGAGAAAUGCUGGUCGCAACAAACAUGGUUGUGUUCAUGUUAAUGGAGGAACGGUGGUCGUAAAAAACAUGGUGGUCAUGUUAAUUUGGUCUGUUGUUCCGGAACUACUGUAGAUAGGAAAGUGGACUCGGUUGAAAUGGUACUCAAUUUUUGCAAUCUUUAUGCUAAAGAUUUUUUUUGCCUUCAUCUACCAAAGGUUAGGUUUUCUGAGCAUGGCUUAGAUGGCGUGUAUUUUCGAUCUAACAGAAAAGAACAGGAAGUCCAACAAUGUUAACUGCAAAUUACAUAAAAUGGCUGCAAAGAAGAAUUGGUAAUGCAGGGAUGUGUGAUAAGUGAUGACUCUUCUCAGCUUUGAAGAGUUUGCAGAACUGGAAAGAACUAUGAUUAAGCUGCAAACAUCCCGAAGGGAAGUCGCAAGGUUGGAUAAGUUUCGAGAAAAUAAUAAACCCACAAAAGUUGUACAUGCGCUCUGGUGACGCUCCUAAGCAUCUAUAAUAUUUCAAGGUUGGGAAGGAAGUUUAGGUAAUCGAUUUUACUGUUAUUUUUCAAAAUUCUUCCGCUUUUCCCCCCUUUUUGUGAUAGGUAAUUUUUUUUGCCGAAAUGAAGACAUUCUGAUGUUCGAUUUCAGAGACCCAAAAGACAAAGUUUGGAUUCUUUUGUUAUGUUAUGAUACCAGAUAACUGAUGGAUAAGCAAGAACCAACAUGGAGUCAAGAGGGGCGUGGUCUAAGACUACUAUUAUAUUAUCUGACCAUGCAAGGAUGAGACUAAUCUGUACAAGUACAUCGACACUGCCACGGAAAAAUUGGUGUCUUCAUCUUCACAUUUUUGCAUCAACACCUCCUUUAUCACUCCCUUGAAGCAGUCAAUGGUACUACCCCUUCACAAAUAAAGUAGCCCACCAUCGUGGUUAUUCUUUGCAUUGGCCCCUCCAUUAUCAGUUCACUCUCAAAACCAACAAUUUUAUCAUUUUUGUUGAGUUGUUCAAUUAAGGUAAUUGACGCUCCAAAUCAUGGAGCUUUGAAUUUGUCAGGAACCCAUGUAUCUAUAUAUCCUCGAGGUUUCCGUUAGCCGUUUAGUUGUAUAAUUGUUUCUUAAUGAAAUAUGUUAUUCCUAUAUCCAACAGUUCAGAAUAAUGUCAGUGGUUCAAUUGUGUCAGCUCAAUUGCUUAAUGAAAUGUGCUAGCCAUUAAUUUUUA